CUUCAUAGAGGUGGUGUCAUUUGAGCUGAGGCUUGAAAGAUGAAUGUAACUUAUUAAUCAAAGGAGAGGGGAAAGGGCAGUCCAGGAGGAAGGAUCUGCAUAAGCAGAGGUGUGGAGGCUUUAGAGGGUAUGGCAUGCUGGGAGAAUGACCACAAGCAGUUUAUUACAGGAAUGGAGCAAGGAGAGUCCGGAUAGAGAGAGUCAGGAAAGGACUGGAAAGAUCCUGUAGCCCCUGGAAACUCCAGGAAAGAGGAAUUGGAGGUUCUCGAGUAAGGUCUAGUAGAGAAGAAUUGUGACCAGACUAUUGUCAUGGCUGGAGUGCAGACAAGGGUUAACCUAUAUAGUUGUCACCUUUCAAGUUGCCCCAUAUAUUGCCAGGAAAUGGUUUGAGGAGUGUGAUUUAGCCAAGGCAGGAUGCUUUCUGGCUUUGCAGCUCCUCCUCUGCGAGCAGUCCUGGGUGCUGAUACAGGGCUCAGGAAUGAGCCUCUCAGCAGGUACUAGGCGUGCCAUGUGCAGGCUCUUGCAGCCCAGCUGUUGCCCUGGCAGCUCCAUGACCACACCUCUGUGCCCAGACAUGGAUCAGAACUGGGAGAAAAAGAGAAGGUGGUACCUUCUAUCCCCUUCACCCUGGGUCUUUCAGGAUCUGCCCCAAGGAGCAGAAAACGGGUGCGCCCAGAGCAGCUUACUCAGGAGACGCUUGCUGUAUGUAUGGCCUGGGACAACUGUAAGAGCCCUGAGGGCACAGAGUAUGGGCAACAGGUGAUAGCAAAUCAAGGAGCAUAUUUAGCAAUGCCUGUGCUACCUAGCAAUGAGAAAUCUAUGAAAAUAGCGACACCACAGGAAUAGGGACUGCAGAGUGGGAAGAAAUGAGGGGUGACCAUGUUGAAGAAACUGUGUUUCGGCAGAGGAGAGAGCAGAGCAAUGGGGUGAGGUGGGAAUGCUUUUGGGUGGGCUUCAGAAGCAGUGAGGUCAGUGUGGCUGUCGUGAGGUGUGGAGAGUUGGGGAAGAGGAAAGGGGGUACCUGAGUUACCUGGGGCCACGUCACGUAGGGCCUGGUGGGCUGUGGUAGGGACUUGGGAUGUUUCUCUAAGUGCAGAAGAUUUUGAGCUGGGGAGAUGUGAUUGGAUUUAUGUUGUAGGGGCAAUAGAGACUAGGGAAUUGAACAGGAAGCAGGGAGGCCAGGAGGUGGCAGCUGUAGAGGUCUGGAGGCUUGGAUGUAACCAGGAGGGUUGGACAGAGCUACAGGUCAGACUGGGUCCACAUUUCAAAGGGGAUCUUAAAGGCUGUGAGAGGGACUAUUACAUGCCACCAAUAUUGAUUGUGCUCCUACCAUCAGGAUACAGAGAUGAGACAGUGAUUCCUGUCCUCAAGGAGGUUACAUUCGCAUGGGGAGAGACACAUAGCAAAAGAGACCACCAAGGCAAGUCCGCCGAGAGAUGAUGAGAGCCCAGAGGGCAUAUCACUAAGAGAAGGCCAGGAAUGAUCUCACGGAGCAAAUGGCAAUUGGCUUGAGUUUUGAGGAAGUAGAAGUUUGGUCAACAGGUAGGAAGCUGAGUAGGAAGGGAAUUUCUGGCAAAGGCACAGUUGCUGGUUCAGUGGCAUCGUUCCCUCUGGGGAAUCUGGGAAGACUGUGCCUGACUGUGGUUCCUGAUGGGAUUGCUGGUAACUGGCUCCAGAAAGAUUAUUUGGUGGAUAAAAAAAAAAUGCAGGAUAUAUUUGGAAAACUACAAGUUAGCCUCUAAGCUGGCAAUGUGAUGAGGGCAUGGCAGGGUGCCUCUAGGUUCUCUACAGUAAUGGGGCUCUGAAGAGAAAUUGAGGGGACUGUGAAGCUGUGUUUGCACAGUUCUCUGCAUAAGAUUUGGAAACAGCUGACAAUGCGCAUUAAAGAAUGAGGGUGCUGCUAAUGGAGGUCAUGAGAGUCACCACUCCCUAAACUUGCUCCUUGGCCCCCUCUUUGAGCUUGGAGGUAAAUCUGUGGAGGCUAAGGUUGGGUGGGGCAGUGUAUGUCCUGUUAAUGAGUUAGGACCACAACAAACAGGGAGCUCUUGAUGGGGUUCCUGAAGGUGAGUGAGAAGCUCAGGUGAGUCCUCUAGGGAGUUCACUCUGGAGUGUUGAGGGAGACAGAGUAGACAGGACAAGACAGCAGCUGAGGAAGAGGAUGGCUAGAAGGCUGUUGCAAAAUUCCACUAUGAUCUUCCCUUUGUAAAACCUUCUUUGGAACACACCCCAGAAUACACUGGAAAAUUCAGAAAGGUGGACAAUGGAGAAAGGACAGGAAGCAAGUCCCAGAAUCCACAGCAGCUCCCCAGCACCCCGGGCAAGCACUACCUCCCUGCCAAGGUUCAAGUGGGGCUCUCUUGGCAGCCUCCAUAGGAACUGGCCCGGGGCGAGUUCCCGGGGUAAAAGGUGCAACCUGGGUGUGGGCCGGUUUCCUUGUGAAGGCUGUGGCUUCCCCUCAGGCUCACCCUUGCUGAUGCUGAGUAAUCUGCAGGCUGCAAUCUGCCCGUGAAAGAACUCUUGCAACACAUUGUGUGAGGAUCCCAGGUAAACAGCCAAUGUGUGUGCCCAGAGCUGCACUUACGUCUGUCUUCUAGGGAAGCCUCCCUCCCCGCUGGCCUUCAGGCUGUGCCUCCACCCUGCCUCUGUCUUGUUCUCUUAGGCUGCCCUGUCCUUCCCUGGGAAUCAGGUCAAGAGCCCUGCUGGCAGGUGUCCUAGAGCAUGAAUCAGGCCCCUGGCAAGGAGAAGGCGGGAGAUCUUGGCUGAGAUCAGGUAGGAAGGUUUAUUGGAUGAUGUGUCUGGUCAAUAGCCAAUCUAUUAACCCCCCCUGAGAGAAUUAGGAACCUUCAUAUGAUGGGUCAUCUCUUUGUGGGAGAAGUUUAGAUAACUGGAAACCACAUUUUGGUCAAGAAUGACUCAGUUAAUUUUUCCAUGCCUUUAGUGAGGAUUUAAUUUUGCACGGGUAAGUGACUUCAGAGUGGUUGGUGAAAGCUGGCUGGCUGUCAUUUUGUCUGGCAGUGCAGAGUGGCAAUUUAUCCCUUUAGGUGGCCCAAGAUUUGGGUGGCUGGACUUUCCAAGGCAAUUUAAUUUAAUUUAUUUGUUUAUGCUGAGCCUUGGGUUAAUGCUUUCAAAUGGUUUAUUUCAGAGAUCUGAUAACCUGCGGACUGACUUUCUCCUUCUAGACUUGUGUUGAUUUGAUUCAACAGACCCUCAUGACUCAUGAAGCACCUAUAUGUACCAGUCAUUGUGAUAAAUCUGGGGAUUAGACAGGGGCAAAACUCAGUCCUUGUUGAGUUAGCUCAUGGUGCAAUACUGGACUCAGACAUAAACAAACACACAGAAAUGAUAGGUUUGUGUGGCAUGCUGAAGGCCCAGGUAAGAAGGAAUUCAUUCUGUUGGAUAAGGCGGGGACUCAAGGAGGCUUCCUGGAGGAAGCGAAAUCCUAGAUGAGUCUGAAAGGGUAAAUAGGAAUGAAUGCUCUCCAACUCUGAUGGAGUUGAUGAUCUCAGGGUUGGCCUCUUUUCAUACUGGUUUUGAGUAUAAAUGAUUAAUUUGUUUGUAAUAAUUAAUAAAAAGAAGAAGAAUGCAUUCACAAGCAUCACAAGUGAAUCCAUCCCUGACUUCUUAGUAAUUUCCCCUUUUACACCCUGCUAAUAUGAUCCCUGUUUUUUGCCCUUUAUGAAGUGGUCCACAGUGUGAAAAAUUUGAAAGGCCCCAAAGAAUGAAUAGUUCUUCAGUAAACGAAUUGGAACAGCAUAUUGGGCAUGGAGUCAAGAUGUUGACCUAUGUAAUUCUUUUGACUUUUUUAUUUUAAAAUUACUAUGAUUCCUUCAGGGCAAGCACUGCUUUAAUAAUUCAUCUUUCUGUCUUCAAAAGUCAGCCCAGUGACUGUCCCUUAUUCCACAGAUGUGGAACCAAUUCAGGAUUGUCCUUGUGAUUCUUUUUCCUAAGUGGAAUACUGAGCCUCCAGCUUGUGUGUCAUAUGUGUGGACUUUUCAGCAUAUUCUUCUCUGGCCCAGAAGUCUGGAUUCUUCUUGUCUGUUGCAAUAAUAUAAAGGUUGGAAUUUUCAAAGUCUUUCCAGACCAAUCUUUCUAAUUAUUUGGCUAGGCCCCUUGGAACGGUUCUCUAACUUGCUUUACUUUCCUUGUUUUUCAUUGAAGUUAUUCAGAGCUGUACAUGAAGAGAAGUCCCACAGGGACCCUGGGAUCAGAAGAACUCUGGGAAAUGCCUGGCCCAGCCAGUGCUGUUCUAAAGAUCCUCAUCCUCAUGGAGAUAACCAUUUUUAAGGAAGAAAAGAGGAUCUGGACCCUACCCAUCUCAGUCUCCAUCAGAUCUUAUGGAUGCUCCAGGAAUUGGCCAUGAUUCUCCUCUUUUCUACCAUCUUGUAUGUUGGGCUUUGUAGAGGAUAGAUGUUUUCUAGAAGAAUGGCAGAUAAGGCAAGGUCUGCAGCUUGCCAUUGAUAGUGUCUUUAUCAACAGAUCUGUGAGGAAUUGUGCAGCUGAGAGGGGAGAAGAGAAAUCAGAGAGUGGAUGGACUGCCACAGUUCAACAUAUACUGGUGCUUUCAAUAUAGAAUCCACAAGGCAACCUGCAUGCUGGGCUCUGUGCUAGGCACUAGGGGUAUAUCUAUGAGAUGCCACCCCAGCUCCCACAGUCUUACAAUCUAAUGGGGAAGAGAGAUAUGUCAAUAGACAAACGCAGCAGAUGGCAAGUGCUGGGAUAUGAAACAGUAAGCAGAAGCCACAGUGUUCUCUGGGACUUCUGAGCUGAGUCCCAAAGUAAUUAGAUUAAUCCGUCAUGGGAGGUGGAGUGGGUAGGGGGAGCUCCUGGAAGCAUGAUCAAAAGUGGAGAGCUAAGGUGAGGGAGAAGAAAGAAAUGAGAUUCAGCAAAGAGGAGGAGAGCAAUGAAGGGCCAUGUAUGACCAGGCGAAGGCAAAUUGUUCGGACCAAACAUGACAGUAGGGUGGGUUUUUGAGGGGUAUCCACUGCACUUACAGAGGCAAGAUUCUCUAUGGUGACCUUUCAGUGAGGGUGGGCAAAUACACUACUUUUUGAGUCAGCCAUUUUUCACUACUGAGCACCUCUGGCCUUAGCAAGUUCUGAGCAUGAAUACUUUCUUCUGUUUCUAAGCCAUUCAACAAAUAUCAAAGUGCUUUCCCAUGUAUUGGUCAUCUUAGGCAAACUGGGUGGACAUGUAGAGCAAGACGUAAUGAGGUAAGCACUCACUAGAGCUAGGUCAUCUUAGAAAAGUCACUUAGCUUCACUGAGCCUCAGUCUUCCUAUCUGUGAAAUGGGGAUAAUGACCCUUAUGUCACCUGGUGGGCAAGGUCUAAAUAAAAUCAUUGUAGUUAGAUCCAUAGUAGGUUCUUUCUGACCUACCACUGUGCACCUCACGCCGUUGCUAUUCCAGUGGGAUAUAUCCAGUGGGGUUACGGGUAUGACAUUUCGGAACCCCACCAUCACUUGUAUCAGCAGGUCUGUCCUAGGUUCCCCAACUAAGCUUCCUGGAUGAGGCACCUAGUGGCGUCCCCUAGUUUGAGUGUGGGGGGUUUGGUAAACUAGUCCUUAUGUAUGCUUGUCAGAUGGAGGGUACUGUCUUUAAGAUGGGCUCAUAGCUGAAUCUGGAAGGUAAGUGCUCCAGGCCAGUAUUGUUUUCUGCAGGAUUCAAAGUUCCCUUGCUAUUUCUGCUGACUUUGCUUCCCCUCUCGUGUUCUAUAUCCCAAACCUAUUAUCUUCACCAGCGUUAAUUUGCCUCCACAACUCUGUUUUUGCAUUUUGAAAUGGAAUUUCCCUUAACCUAUAUUCCUCUGGUUCCCAAACUCCACCUGCUUCAGUUUUUUUUUCAAUAUCAUCUACAUUUCCUUCACUAGAUUAUAGCCUUAGUCAUUUGUACCCUUAGAAUGAAUAUUUUUUUCUGUCAUAUCUUUGUUUGAACCUUUUCACAUUUGACUUCAGACAUUACCCAUCUCCUUCAUCUGACCACUUUCUUCACUUUUCUCAUCUUUCCAUUUUGGUUGUAUGUCUACUGAGCAAGGGGCUCUGUGCAGAGCAUUCAAAGAUGACUGAGAUGUAGUCUUGUGGGUAGAGAGAGACAAUUAGAAUGCACCGUGGAGAGUGUUAGGUUGAGGGAAGCGGAGAUUACAGGAGUCCAAAUGUCUUAUCCGAGGAUAUGGGAUAGGCUUGAGAGAAGAUGCUGAGCUCAUGUAGGUGAGGUAUUGUCCUACGUGAAGGAAAAGAGGCAGGAGAUGGCAGCUUGGAGGCUAUAUUACUUUCUCUGGGGCUGCCAUACCAAAGUACCACAAACUGGGUGGCUUAAAACAUCAAAAAUGUAUUUUCUCACAGUUCUAGAAGGUAGAAGCCCAAAAUCAAGAUGUUGGCCCUACAGCUGUGCUCCUUCUGAAGGCUUUGGGGUGAAUGUGUUUAAUGCCCUUUUCUUAGCUUCUGCCCUUUUCUUUUCUGGCCUUCACAGAAGGCCAAAGAGCAAUCCUUGGCCUUCCUUGGCUUGUGGAUGCAUCGUUUCAGUCUCUGCCUCUGUUUUCACAUGGCCCUCUUCCCUGUGUAUCUGUCUCUACGCUGCUUCUCAUCUUAUAAGGACACAAGUCAGAUUGGAAUAAAGCCUAUUCUAAUUCAGUAUAAUCACAUCUUAACUUGAUUAUGUAUGCAAAGACCAUAUUUCCAAAUAAGGUCACAUUUUCAGGUCCUCGGGGUUAGAGCUUUCACAUGUCUUUUUGGGGGACAUAGUUCAACUCAUAAUAGAAACCUCGCAGAUAAAUCAUUUUGGCCGGUGCACAGAGUUAAGUGGUGGAUUAUCAAGAAUAUGGAAUUUUAGAAUUUUAGCUUCUUGGUUGAUUUUUGGGAAUUAACAUACAGGAGAGCAGGUUUAGAAGUAACAAUAACACUUUGAGAGGCCGAGGUGGGCAGAUCAUGAGGUCAGGAGAUCGAGACCAUCCUGGCUAACAUGGUGAAACCCCGUCUCCACUAAAAAUACAAAAAUUAGCCGGGCAUGGUGGCAGGUGCCUGUAGUCCCAGCUACUCAGAAGGCUGAGGCAGCAGAAUGGCAUGAACCCGGGAGGCGGAGGUUGCAGUGAGCCGAGAUCGUGCCACUGCACUCCAGCUGGGGAGACAGAGUGAGACUCUGUCUCAUAAAAAAAAGAAGUGACAAUAACAAUAACAGAGGCUGGUCUUCUGGGAAUGAUGCGAUACUCUUCAGCCAGCCUUUCUGUUUUGAGCGAAGCCCCAACCUGGAGUUCAAAGAGAGUGAGGGCGCUUCCUGUCUUCUUGUCUUUCUCCUCUCUCCUGCUACUUGUUAUGAAAUUCAGAACAAUUAGAGAUUUUCUGUCUCAUCCCUGGAAUGGUGUUUCUCCUGCUGGCCCUAUCAGGCUGGUGUGUUGAUGUUAUCGGGGAGAGGCUGUAGUUACUAGGAUGAAGAAGGCAAGAGAGAAAUGGAAUUCACGCAGAUCAAACAUGUGUAAUCAGAAGACAUUACUGAGGCUUGAUGAUGCUGUUCAGGGUGUAUUUCCCUUGAAACGCUUCUUAAAAGACAGCAGCUUAAACAAAUGGGCAAGAUGAGAUUCACAGAGGUAACAUUUCAGAGAGAAUGUAGGUACAGCUAAGCAGAGCUAAGCAGUGACAGAAGGAGAAAGUGUGUCUGAAGAAAAAUCUUCAUUACAGAUUUGAAAGAAAAAAAACCCAUCAAAUCCCUCUGCCUUGUGGGUCUCACAGGAGGCAAACUUUCUUUACAAACUGUGUGUUUGUGUUUUGAGUGACUAAGAGUUCAGGGACAAGUUCAAACACACCUAAGUUCAAUUUAAAAGUAAAUGAGAUGACAUUGGAGGAAAUUUAUAAUAAAAUGUCACUCUUUACCUAACACCAUUUUCUCUGGAAUUCAAAAUAUCCAUUGUUUAAAAGUGACACAGUAACUACCAUCUAGUUUGCUGAAUGACCUUCUUUAUAGCGUCAUGGUAUUAGAAAUGGCUUCAGAAGGAAUCACUCAACUGCAUUUAUCUGGCAGGAGAAAAAUGCAGGUAGUAUUUAUUUUGGGGUGUGGUAGGGGAUGUCCCCUAGCAAGGAUCCUAGAAGUCAGUGUCAGGUAUGAGAACAAGAAACAUUCAUUUAUUGCAUGCAUACUCAUUGAGUCCCUACUAUGUAUUGGUAUUAUGUGGCAGUAUGAAUAUUCUCAUUUGUUAAAUAAAGAUACUUGAGUCUGCUUUCAGUGUUGUGGGUUUUGUUAUUAAGAGUAAUACAGUCAUGUGUUGCUUGAUCAUGGGGACUUGUUCUGAGAAAUGUGUUGUCAAGCAAUUCUGUCUUUGUGGGAACCUCGUAGAGAGUAGGGUACUUACAAAAACCUAGAUGGGAUAGCUUAAUACGCACCUAGGCUGUAGGGUAAAGCCCAUUGCUCCCAGGCUACAAACCUGUAGAGCAUGUUACUGACUGAAUACUGUAGGCAGUUGUAACAAAUCACUAGGCAACAGAAACUUUGCAGCUCUGUUAUUAUCUUAUGGCACCACUGUUGUGUAUGCAGUCUGUUGACCAAAA
rnacentral:lncRNA from 1 species